CGCUCUUUGGGGGUAAUUGUAAAAUAUGGGGAGUUUAGCCUGCUCAGUGAGCUACUAUUUAAAUAGCCACAUUUGUGUGAAAGUAGCAUAAUCUCUUAUCUCUUAAUUAGAGAUGUGUUGAAUGGUUUAACGUGAGUACAGCUGUCUUAAGCUUAUAGAACGAAUUUGACUUUUAAAUGAAAAGGUUUAAAUAAUUUAAAAAGACGAGAUGACCCUGUUGAACUUUAAUUAUAAAGAAUUGUGAAAUUUUAGUUAGUUUUGGUUGGGGCAACAUAGGAAGAAUAAAAUUUUCCUUUGAUUAAAAAUUUUGAUAGAAUAAGAUCCGGCGUGUGCCGAUUGAAAGAAAAUAGUUACCGCGGGGGUAACAGCGUGAUAUUAUUAGAGAGUUCUUAUCGAAAAUAAAGUUUGCGACCUCGAUGUUGGACUAGGAUUUCCUUUAGGUUGAAGCCGCUUAAAGGGGUUGGUCUGUUCGACUAUUAAAAUCCUACG
rnacentral:rRNA from 1 species